rnacentral:tRNA from 1 species
GCCGGGGUGAUGGAAUUGCUAGACAUCCAGGACUUAAAAUCCUGUGGAGAGAAAUCUCCGUGCGGGUUGGAGUCCCGCCCCCGGCA